GGAAUCUUGAGUACUUCUGUUAGAUAUUCCACUGCUACAAGGCCCUACACAGGUGGUAUUAUCACCCCAAAAUGCCCACUUCUCCGCUCUCUUGACAUAUCAGAGACACAAAAACAUUAAAAUCAUUCCACGGAAUGAAAAUCAUCACAAAAAGUAAAGGAAAACCUCUGCCAACAUAACAGUAUCCACUUUUUCAUGCAGCGAUUGUAGACACAAAAGAGCAAAAGAGACAGAGAGAAGCGAGAGAGAGAGAGAGAGAGACAAGAAUUGUAUUGCAAAUUGCAAUGUUCUGCAGCAGCAGCGACAUCCGAACAUUUGAAUGCCUUGCGCGACGAUAUGGCAGUUGUCAUCAGAG
rnacentral:lncRNA from 1 species